rnacentral:misc_RNA from 1 species
UCACCCAGACAGGUGAUUGAUGCAUUGAAUGCAGAAGGACCUCAUAUCGAUCUCAUCCUUUCAGAAGUUGACCUUCCUAUGUCUAAAGGAUUUAAGAUGUUGAAGCACAUUAUGAGGGAUAAGCAGUUGCGACACAUUCCAGUGAUCAUGAUGUCAUCGCAAGAUGAAGUCUCUAUUGUUAUUAAGUGCCUGAAAUUUGGAGCCGCUGACUACCUGGUAAAGCCUCUCAGAACUAAUGAGCUAUUGAACUUGUGGACACACAUGUGGAGAAGAAGGAGAAUG